UCUGGCGUUUGUGGGAAUGUAGUUCGUGCUGUCGCUGGCAUUUUGUUUUGUGGCCGCAUUGACAUCCGCUGUAUUAACAACGGCCCAUGAUGCUCUUCACCGCUGUGACGUGUCUGUACUGUUCCCGCAGGCACCUUGGAUACAAACACCGUGAACGCAUCGGGAACCUAUGAAAAUCUCUCAAGGGAUGAACAGGGCGCAAGGCACAAUGCACAAGAUGGAAACUCCACUUACACGGGACUGGUUCUGGGGGAUCGAUCUGUUUACAGUGAUCUGAAGAGUUGCCGAGAGAGCCAACAUGAAUUGUUUACUUAUUCCGUCAGAUGACGUCACUGUUGAAUAGAAGAGGACGGUUGGCCGGGAAUUCACACAUGAGAAAGACAACCAUCGUGGAAGAAGCCACCGUGCCACACGUCUCUUACUUUUUAUAUACGACCGUUAUCCGUGUCUCCGGCAUCUCUCUCUCUCGAGUGUCACAUCUUCACUCCGAGACAUCACUGAAGGGUGUGACACAUUUUUUAUCGUAGCGGCUUAGUUCUCUCACUUCAACCUAGACUCCUCCAGCCCAUGAUAGGCAGCCUCACGCUUUCACCAACCUUUGCCCUCUCAACUUUGCUCUGCGUUACGAUCUCAAUAAACUCAUUGUCCACAUUAUAGGCGGUUCAGUUUCUAAAGACAUGUUUCGCACAGAUCUGAAAAGUAGCAGUGUGGGACUCUCAACCUUCAGACAAGCCUCUAUUUCAUCUU